CUCGUCUUCAGUUACUACGGAACACAUAGAAGAGGGACGGCAUGUAACUUGUCCAGUGAGAGGAUGCCAAAGAAAAUCCACAUUGCCUCAAGCUGGUUCUAUACCAGGAUGCAUUUGAAGUAGUGAACCCACUUGGUUCUGCCAAAAAGAAGCACAAGGUUUUGGCUGUGUACUUCUCUCUA